UGGCUCAGAUGGUAAAGCAUCUGUCUGCAACACAGGAGACCCGGGGUCGAUCCCUGG
rnacentral:tRNA from 1 species